AGGUCUGCAUUUCUGAAAUUUCUCUUUAAUUGUCUUCCCCCCUCUCAUAGCAUCCCAUUUCAACAAGGGAUUCAUCAGCACAAAUUUAAAGAUGUAUCCUCUAUGAAACCCAUGGUUACCUACAGAUACAAGAGGAGAUUCUUAGGAACAAGUGAAUCAGUGGGUGGAAAUUAACCUGCAAGGGAGCUCUCCACUUCAUGAAGCAUCUGUUUUCUGAGAGUUCACAUUGUCCACAGGAAGGUUGUGCUCUCUAUCAAUGUAUCUCCACAAAGAGAUUGACAAGAGCUUGACAAGGCCCUGAAAUGUGCAAUUGCAGCCCAGAAAGCCAAAUAUAUGCUGACCUGCAUCAAAGGAAGUGUGACUGGCAAGUCCAAGAAGGGGAUUCUCGCCCUUUACGCUGCUCUCAUGAGAGCUGACCUGGAGUACUGCGUCCAGCUCUGGGGCAUACAACAGAAGGACAUGGACCUGCUGGAGUGAGUCCAGAGGAGGCCACACAGAUUAUGAGAGGGAUGGAGCACUUCUAUGAAUACAAGCUGAGACAGUUCAUAUUGUUCAGCCUGGAAAGAGAAGGCUCUGGGGAGACCUAGUUGAUGUUUUUAGGACUUAAAGGGGACAUAAAAGAAAGAGGGAAAGGGCCUUUCUACAAAUACACUAUGUAUUGUAUGUAAUGAUGGGACAGAGGGGAAUGACUUUGAACUGAGGGUAGGUUUAGACUGAAUAUUAGGAAGAAAUUUUUUCCUGUGAGGGUGCCAAAACACUGGACUGGAUUGCCCAGAGAAACUGUGAAUGCUCCGGGCCUGGAACUGUUUAAGGCCAGGUUGAGUGGAGCUUUGAGUAACCUGGUCUAGUGAUAGGUGUCCCUGCCCAUAGAUGGUGGUUGGUGUUAGUAGAACUUGGAAUUAGAUAAUCCUUCUGGUACCUUCCAUCCCAAAGUAUUGUAUGAUUCUACGAUUCUAUAAUUCUAAAAUAAAAAAUUGUUCAGUGUGUUCUCAUGGG